AUUGCUUUUAAUGGUGCUCUUAUAUUAGGCCUGUUUGUGCAACUUAUAGUUGUAAAGAAUUUUACAGAAAAGUGUGGUUUAUUAUGUUUGACAUGAUGAUCACUUGAACAAAGUUACUCCAGAAAUUAUAAUUCUGUUGUAUAUUGUGAUGCUUCAAUGUGGAUAAAAAUUGACCAUUCAUGUGUUCUUUUGACAGACAGUUGAGGGACAAAAGCGCAAAAAGGCAGAGUGCGAACAAUUGCUAAAUCAGCGCAGGGAUCUUAUUUCAAAGUACAAAGGCUCGGUUGAGGAGCUUAUUAACUCUGAACUAUAGCUGCUUCUUCCAUUUUAAAUAUGGUGAGGAAAAGACACAAGUUGCUAGCAUCUACAUCUUUGUGCUUGCACCACGUCAAGCGAAGGCCUUUAUAUGGGAAUUCUUCCUCAUUCGCAAACUUUUUUGUUCUGAGACUGGCCUCCGCCAGACUUUGGCGGUGACUUGAUAUGUCUGUCUUCUGACCAAAAAUAAAUAUAAAUGUCUUUUUCUAGUGCGUAAAUCAUUUGUAGGCUUUAUUAUUUCGUCACUUAUAAAGAUUCUAUAUUUGGCAGUAAAGAAAAACGAUUAUCUAGAUAUUACCAUGGGAUAGGAUAAUAGCAAGUGAAUAAAAAAUCUUGUAAGAACA